GAGGGCGUUUUGUUUCGCGGCCCAAUUUCGCUUCAAACGUAUAUCAUUUUACGUGUCGAUGGAUUUGGGUCGUAGAACUAUAUCGCGAUCGGUUAAUGGCGUUGCGUAACGCCAGACGAGAUACGUGACUCGAUAAAAAUCGAUUGUAUCAUCGACGGUGGGAACGUUCGUUUGGUUUCCUCAAGAUCGAGAGCCCUGUUAUAACCCUCUCUCUUGUACGUCUCUUUUUUAUACUCCAUCUUCGUUCCUCCCUUUUCCCGCGCCAGAUUCAUAUAUCUCUUUUCGCGCAUGAACGAACUGACGGAUCUGGUAAAUAGAGUGUCUAAAUAAGUUCCUAACUAUCUUUGUUAGAAAUGCAAAACAAUCUUCUCGCGCGCGAUUGUUACCAUCAUGAUGAGUAUACGUAUAUGAAUAAUAAGCUUGGUAAGGCGCAAGGUGAUCCGAUAUAUCGACGAUUCGUGUUGAUUAUAGGUUAGGUUUAGAGCCCCGGAGCACGGGAACGAUGGAGUAAUUCGUUCCCUGGUCGAAGUCGUAACCGCGGUGUAGAGGUGUCGUAACAGCGACUUAAUAACAGCUACGAUGAAAAGGGAAGGGAAAAGGAAGGAAGAUUUUUAUCAGUUCUAACUCAAAUUCGCUACUCUAUAUUUAACCGCGAGGAAUAUUCUAACGCUCUUUACAAAGCUCUUGAGAAUUCAUCGUGGUACUAAAACGAAGAUAAAUAGAAUAUAGGAACAUACAAUCGAUAUAAAAUAAUCUGAGGAACUAUGCGGUAAAAAGUGGAAUAAAAGCAUUAUCUAUCGGAAACGUGGAUUAGCGCCCUACAUAAAAUACAUAGUCACUAAAAUACUAUAUUGUACUAGAUAGGUUAGACUCCUAGAUCAUGAGCCCUCGAGCGUUGAAGCUAGUUGUCCGCUAUUAAGGGCAUAGAGGGCGCCAAAACAUUGUAUCGCCCGCGGCGCAAACUCUUGCUACAUCAUCUCAUUAACACGGAAGAAUUUAAGAAACGACGAUGAAUAUUUACUUUCAUUUUUUAAAAGUACCACACAGUAACAAGUCAUUGUUCCUCUGUAAUAAAAAUGGCCGGUCGAUAAAGCACUAAUAAUCGAUGUAGGAGUCAAGUAUUCACGGAUCGAAGUGUAGUAGAAAGUGAAGUAUUCCAUCUACGAUUCACACUCCGUUAACGAUCGUUUGUCACGAUCGAAGAUAAAGACGGUAAGAUUCCUACGGCGUUGGUUCCAAUGAGAAUCGUAGCCAAUCGUAUCCAAUGAGAAUUGAUGGAAAUGGAAACCCUUAUCACGAGAUGUCACCAUCCCCUGCUAAGGUUUAAAUUAUGUAAAUUCCCGGGAGUAUCGGUCGUGGCCGAUUGAAUACGCAAAAAGAACACCGAUCGAAGUACAUAUUCUUUUGGAAUUCGAUUAUGUGUCAACACGAUCGAAAUAUGUACGAACAGGAACAUAAGAAAAGAUAAAAGGAGCGUAUUAUAAGGCUUGGAUGUCUACGAUCUUGCGACAAGUAUACAAGUAUAAUUGCUUAUGGAUGCGGACACGCCCUGAGAGAAAAAUUCAUCCGGGGAAUGCGCUGAAGUAACCACGUCCUUGACCGUACUUGACGGAAACGGCAUUCAACCUUCUGAUGCCUUCUUCUCCGUCGUCCAAGAUGGAAUUCUACCGCGAGGCGGUUGUAUUCCAGCUGAACACCGUGUUUGGAACUUUUAUUUGAUGACUACCUAAAGAAAAUAUCAGAAAGAAAAUCGGGGAAGAACGUUGGAAGUUGUUAAUUCCAAAAGUAGUGGAAUUAUUAUUUCUUUUAAAACACUAAUAACGCAUUGUUCGAAAAUAAUAAUAAUUCUGGUUUUUAUAUUUCAAAAUGACCUGAAUAUUUACGAAAGAUAAGAAAACGAUUGCCUAUUUUAAUACCAUGCCGUCGAGUAUCUAAUCUAUAAAAUAGUUUUCAAGGAUACUAGAUAUCCUAAUAAAUGAUAAAAUGAUUUAAGCGCCAAGUUACACAGAUCAUAUGUAUUUAUUUCAUCUUUCCAGAUUUUCAUUGUAAGACUAAGAAUCACCUUUGUAAAUUUCCAUGCUUCCUACAAAGUAUAGAAGCAACACAGUUACAUACGUGUAAUGCAGGUAAAUUACUCAAGAAUAUUAUCCGCCUGACUUGAAAAUGAGCAUGCAGGAUGGAACCUGAUUCGCAGUGCGAAGUCUAAAUGACACGGGAGAGAAACGGGAAAUCUGACAUUCUCGUUUUCUUCUCGCACAAGCUAGCACCUCGUUAACUGACCAAGAUUUUGUUUCAUUAACUGGCUAUCGCCAUCCUCGCCAAUUAGGAUACAAAAAAAUUGGAAUAGAAAUAAAAAAAGCUUGGUUCUAUGAAAAAUUACGCAAAGUUAAUUUACAAGGGCCGUAUAAUCAUGGUACCGUGUGAUUGAUUUAAAAAAUGGAGGAGGAAUUUGACAUUUUUAAAAGAUUUAUUUCGUCUGGAUUAAAAAUUUUGUGCUUUCCGCCUGGAGGCUUUCCUUCCUCUUCUUUUCGCGACAACGUAACGCAACAUGCUCGUUAGAUUGGGGUUCGAGUGCGCGAGAAAGGGGAGGAAUUUAUGCCGUCGUUAACGUAACGUUCCUUGGUGCAAGGUGGUUUACAAGCAACAUCGUAAAAUCCGCGUCUUCUCGAUUUAUCAUAGCACGAGCAACAAACUGCUCGCAUUCCCUUCAUUCGCCAGUGCGUGGAAUAUCUCGUGGCGAAGGUUAUUCACCCUUCUCGAGGGACUAAAAUCACUCUAGAUCCUCCGAGAUAAUGAGGUAUAUCGAAUUGGUAAUAAACAGUGGAAAAGGAGUAUCUCGAGAGAAUUUUUUCAAUACAUUUCCUUUACAUUCUUUGUUACAAUAAUUUAGUAUUUUAUUAUCCUCCAGUUUUUUUUAUUAAUUUCUUGUCGAUUUAUCAAAAAAUAAUUUUAAACAUAUAAUGCCAAUUGACCAUUUUAUCUGAUUAAUUGUCGAAGAUAUAUUUCUAAGAAAUUUCGAGUAUUUCUAUUCUUCUAAUGUAAGUAAGAUACAAGUACCAGACAUGUUUGCUUAUUUUAUAUACGUAGUAUUAGUAUAUUUUACUCGCGUAACGCUUGUUUACUUUACAUAUACAAUACCAGAGAGUCACUUUAUGAAGUCAGUUUUAAAACUAUUGAGUAUGAUGAAACCAAAUAAAGAAUCGAUUAAAGUUUUUGAACGAAGGAGAAAUAAUAUAAAAUAUAAAAUAGAUAGAAUCUAAUAUAGAUACUAUAAAAUAUAUACAAUAUAAAGGGACUAAACCAUCGCUUUAGAACUUCUUACUAGGCUAAUACGAGCAUCAUCCGGAAUACAUAUUAAGAGAAGGCACAAAACACUUUAUUAGAUAGUGAAGUAUCCAGUAUCUUAAAAGCUCUGACAAGGAUUUUCAAAGACACAUUCGAUACAACCAUUACUAUUGUGCAUUAACACUUAAGGUCUCAACAGUCAAGUCUCAUACUAAGACUCAGCGAUAGAUUACCGAAGAAACAAACUAGAAACUAUUAACGAUGGACCAUAUUAAUUACCUAAAAUGCAAUACGUAGAUGAAAGUCGAUACUCUAGAUUCUGUUGCACAAUAAUUUAUCAGCUAAUAUGUUAAUGAAUUGACAAUUACAAGCUGCAAGUUAAACUUCUUUUUCGCAACUUUGCAUUUAUAUUGAUCUUUAUACGCAUAUGGGAUAGUAGAAUGCACAUAAUAUAUAAAGAUACGUAUAUACAAAUAUCCAAAGUGGAUAAAACAAUUCUGAGAUAUAAUAAAAAAAUAAAUUUGCAGAAAUAUCCACUAGUUUACUGAUAACGUGUAACUUGUGAUUUGUGAUAUCUCAUUAAUAAUAUUAAGUUAAUUGUGCAAGACUUGGUACCAGUCGAGGGCCAAAACUUUCAAGAAAAUAACAAUUUGUGGAGGUACGACACGUAAAUGCCUGUUGAAAGUAAACAUAUCGCGGACAUACGGCGGUAUGAGCACUGAAAAAGUGGAAAGAAAGUUGCCAAUGCGCCUCGCAUACCUACUGAUCUGCCGGUUGCGAACAAGUUUCGCAGUGAAUGGACCGAGCGAAUGAACUUUUCACUCACUUGCAUCCAUGGUCGGGAUUAAUCUCGAUUAAUCGAAACAUCUUGAUUAACUCAGUGAUACCUGGUCGAUAAAUAAGUAUUUUCGUCGCUUCUAUCGCGAACAGAUUAUGUACUUCCGUGAACCAUUGCUUUGUCACAGUGGUGCCGAUCCGUCAAUGAUACAUACGCGUUAUCGAGAUUUUAGGAUAAUUUUCGAACAUUUUACUGCGGCUUUCUAAAUCGAACGCAAUUAAUGCUUAUCGAUAUUACAAUGGGUAAUAACAUUAUUUUCAAAACAUGCUCGAUGUUUCGGCGUUCCUUGAAUUCGUCGGGCAACGUCAUGCAAAAGUCGCUACUUUAUAUUUGUUCGUGUGUAUUUCGUAACUGAAGAAUGAAAUUAUUCGUAAACGAUCAUAUACAAGUCACGCACAAAAAGUAGAAAUUAAAUUUGUUUUACGGAGAUGUCAUCGAUUAUCAAAUUGUGCAUAUUUAUACAAAUUCAUAUUGUUACGAAUAUAGAUCAACAAUAGUUUUACAUAGUAAAUAUUACAAAGUUAUCUCAUACAGUGGCUACGAAAAGUAUUGACUUCGAGACAUUUAUGUAAAACUAGUAUUAUUUAUGCUUGAUAUGUGUGGUAAACGCGUGAAUGGCAAAAACUAUAUGAAUCUAUCCCCUUUUUUCUCAGGGUAUCGAAGGUCGUUCGAUGCAAUAUCGAUGCACGCGGAGUACGAUAAAUAUUUGCAAUUUAUGUCACGACGGUCAUAAUCAGUAUACGUAGGUAUUUCGUAGGCGUGAAUUACAGGUGAUUGCCGUGCAGUCACAGUUUACCGUAAACAUCUUCGAUGCUUUGAGCGUGUCGUUAAGGGAUUAGAAUAAUCUGAACGUUUCAUUGGAAUUUUAUGUUCUUUUUCGCAUAUUUCUGUAUAUAUUUAAUUAUUUAUAGUUACACCAAUUAUGUUUCAUCUUUAUUAUACCUUAUAAAGGAGAAGAGAAUGUAAAUUACGUAUUCACGUUGUUAGCGGAUAAAAGAUAAGUACCGUAAAAACUUACGAAAUAACCCGUGUAAUUGCAUUUGUACAUCAACUAUCCAGCCAAUAAGAAAUUUUAGGAAUUUUCGCAAGACAUGCGAUUUAACAUGAACACAAUCUUAUUAAGAACAAUAGUAUUCAAAAUUCGAAAACAUUAACAAGUCUAACGAAAAUGUCUCCUUAUAAAACGGUGAAAAAAUGUUUGCUAUUCUUUCAUUUUUAUAAUCAUUGAUCCCAUUGUUUACACUUUUUAACAAAAACGCAGGAUAUAUUAUUUUAUCAAAAAUAUAUAAAAAAUGUUAGUGAAAAAAAUAAGAAAGAAAUGAAGUUCCAAAACAAUGAAUCAUUGCGAUUCAUCGUUAACGCAAUGCUGAUAACGCGACAAAAAUGUUCACUACUAUUUACCAUUACAUACAAUGCAUACUUAUAUAUAUAAAAAUUAUGCACGGAGAAUCAAAAUCUUAUUACUCUAUAAUAUUUGCAUAGUUAAUAUCGCGAGAAAAUCGUACGCUAUAUUUUUAUGAUGACUUCAAAGUGUCAUUUGCAUAAAAAUUUUUUCAGAGCACGAUAAUCGGGACGCAAGAUGAACUCGUCGUCUCGUGGCUUUGCAUUGUUUACCGUACGAUUGUGUUACGUUUCGAUUUCCGAUCAAGUAUUCGAUGGAAAUAAAAUUGCAUCGAAUCUUUCCCCGUAAGUGCGUAUUACCGAGUACAUCGACCGCACAUCUUUCUCAUAAAGGAGGAAAGAUAAUAAAGUACAUCCGGUUAAAAUACAAACAUGUGUCAAUUAAUGGAAUUCGAUUGCAUGUUGUCGCGAUAGUAAGAUUUUUCUUAUUGAAGUCCGUUACCGUGACCAGGCACGAAGUAUGUAUAUAUAGAUAUAUAUGGUCGACUGCUGAUUAUCAUCGGAGACGUAGAGCAACAGGUGUGACCACGACAGACGAUUCUUCGCGGGGAGAAAUCCACGUCGGUGUACUCGGUACAAUGACUCCACUCAAGAAAUCAUUUCCAUAAAUACCUUGACAGCAGCGUUUCACCGAGUCUGCUGAAUUCCUCUAUUCCGCAAUUUGGGAUCCGUACGGAACAACUCGGUAAAAAAAAAA